GGCGAAGCUACCAUCUGUGGGAUUAUGACUGAACGAAGGUGGUUUUCCCAGGGCGAGGCUUAUCCAUUGCACUCCGGAUGUGCUGACCCCUGCGAUUUCCCCAAAUGUGGGAAACUCGACUGCAUAAUUUGUGGUAGUGGGGGACUGCGUUCGCGCUUUCCCCU
rnacentral:snRNA from 1 species